rfam:Tupaia chinensis contig153544, whole genome shotgun sequence.
GCUGCGCUUUGCCGCCAGCACCGGGUGCGGCUGCUCUGCUGUGCCCGGGCGUCGGGGCAGAGAGAACCUGGCUAUUUCUACGCUCCGUGCCCGGAAACCAGUGGGCGCUGAGAAUGGUUUGUAGCCUGACACAU